GUGGGGAAUCUUCCGCAAUGGACGAAAGUCUGACGGAGCAACGCCGCGUGAGUGAAGAAGGUUUUCGGAUCGUAAAGCUCUUUCGUUAGGGACGAACGUGCUCUUUGUGAAUAAUGAGGAGUAAUGGCGGUACCUAAAUAAGAAGCCACGGCUAACUACGUGCCAGCAGCCGCGGUAAUACGUAGGUGGCAAGCGUUGUCCGGAAUUAUUGGGCGUAAAGCGCGCGCAGGCGGGAUAUCAAGUCUGUCUUAAAAGUGCGAGGCUCAACCUCGUGAGGGGACAGAAACUGGUAUUCUUGAGUGUCGGAGAGGAAAGUGGAAUUCCAAGUGUAGCGGUGAAAUGCGUAGAGAUUUGGAAGAACACCAGUGGCGAAGGCGACUUUCUGGACGAUGUCUGACGCUGAGGCGCGAAAGCUAGGGGAGCGAACGGGAUUAGAUACCCGAGUAGUCC
rnacentral:rRNA from 1 species